AAUCAAUAUCGGAUAAUCAAAUUCCCUGUUUUGAGGCUUUCAUUUUGUGGGGUCGGGUCAAAAGAAGGGCAAAUAAGAUUACGGGUUGUGUAUACUUACCAAUCCUGAAAGCACCUCAAGCAUAACGAAUGGCUGCAGUUCGAGUAUUAACAUGUUGAAUAUCAGCUUCAAGAGACUUAAGUGAAUCCUUAAAAUUCUUCCCAAUUACCAUGAUUCAGCUACUAUCAUCAAAUACCCACAAAAAGUUUCACUCAAAAUUGAUGAAAACACUCAACUCAACUUUAGAAUAUAAUCCUUUUUUUAUGUGAU
rnacentral:lncRNA from 1 species